rnacentral:rRNA from 1 species
GUGCCAGCCGCCGCGGUACUACCGGCAGCCCGAGUGAUGGCCGAUCUUAUUGGGCCUAAAGCGUCCGUAGCUGGCCGCACAAGUCCGUCGGGAAAUCCACUCGCUUAACGAGUGGGCGUCCGGCGGAAACUGUGCGGCUUGGGACCGGAAGAUCCAAGGGGUACGUUCGGGGUAGGAGUGAAAUCCCAUAAUCCCGCACGGACCACCGAUGGCGAAAGCACUUCGAGAAAACGGAUCCGACAGUGAGGGACGAAAGCCAGGGUCUCCAACCGGAUUAGAAACCCUGGUAGUCC